AUUGAACGCUGGCGGCAUGCCUUACACAUGCAAGUCGAACGGCAGCAUGGAGAGCUUGCUCUCUGAUGGCGAGUGGCGAACGGGUGAGUAAUGCAUCGGAACGUACCGUGUAAUGGGGGAUAACGUAGCGAAAGUUACGCUAAUACCGCAUACGACCUGAGGGUGAAAGCAGGGGAUCGCAAGACCUUGCGUUAUACGAGCGGCCGAUGUCAGAUUAGCUAGUUGGUGAGGUAAAGGCUCACCAAGGCGACGAUCUGUAGCGGGUCUGAGAGGAUGAUCCGCCACACUGGGACUGAGACACGGCCCAGACUCCUACGGGAGGCAGCAGUGGGGAAUUUUGGACAAUGGGGGCAACCCUGAUCCAGCCAUGCCGCGUGAGUGAAGAAGGCCUUCGGGUUGUAAAGCUCUUUCGGCCGGGAAGAAAUCGCACAGGCUAAUACUCUGUGUGGGAAUGACGGUACCUGAAGAAUAAGCACCGGCUAACUACGUGCCAGCAGCCGCAGUAA
rnacentral:rRNA from 1 species